rfam:Schistosoma rodhaini strain Burundi genome assembly, scaffold: SROB_scaffold0002865
GGACUGCUGAGCAGUCCCAUACCAGAACGAAACGGCCCGUCCAGUGC